rnacentral:rRNA from 1 species
GACGAACGCUGGCGGCGUGCUUAACACAUGCAAGUCGAACGGAAAGGCCCUGCUUUUGUGGGGUGCUCGAGUGGCGAACGGGUGAGUAACACGUGAGUAACCUGCCCUUGACUUUGGGAUAACUUCAGGAAACUGGGGCUAAUACCGGAUAGGAGCUCCUGCUGCAUGGUGGGGGUUGGAAAGUUUCGGCGGUUGGGGAUGGACUCGCGGCUUAUCAGCUUGUUGGUGGGGUAGUGGCUUACCAAGGCUUUGACGGGUAGCCGGCCUGAGAGGGUGACCGGACACAUUGGGACUGAGAUACGGCACAGACUACUACGGGAGGCAGCAGUGGGGAAUAGUGCACAAUGGGCGGAAGCCUGAUGCAGCAACGCCGCGUGCGGGAUGACGGCCUUCGGGUUGUAAACCGCUUUCGCCUGUGACGAAGCGUGAGUGACGGUAAUGGGUAAAGAAGCACCGGCUAACUACGUG